UAAAAAGGGGUGCUCGCGUUUAAAGCGGGCUGAGAGUAAGCUGAGAUGCUUUAACCCAUAACCUGAUUUGGAUAAUGCCAACGUAGGGAUAUA
rnacentral:ncRNA from 1 species